ACCAACACAACCCAACACAACAGUGUGAGUCAGUGUUAUAUUUAUAUAUAUAUAUGUUUUCUAACACCCUUUCUGAUUUCUUACUAUAAAGCUGUGUGGGUUAGGGUUAUCAGUUUGCAGAAAGAAAGAGGGAGAGAUAUUGAGAGCUAGCGGAGGAGGCUAGGGUAAUUUGGUGUAUGUUGGGGGGAAUGUUGGCUGGCUCGAGGCUUUCACAUGGAGGUUCUUCAUGUAAAAAGGAACUCUUGAGGCUUCGGACCAGGCUUCAUUCCCCUCAAACUUGUACACGUUCGAUUCAUUCAUGGAGAUAUAUAUUGUCUUCUUCAGGCCAGCCAGUUUAAUUCACAAUUAUUCAAAGUUUUGGGCUUCGAUGUGCAUGGUUAAUCUCGUGAAGGUUAGGUUGAGAGGAAUGUUGUCUGGCUCGAGGUCAUGGAGGUUGAUUCUCUAUGACACUUUUCCGGGGUCAAGUUUCAGUACAAGUACUGGAAAAGUUCAUAAUUUGAACCCUAAAUGAUUCUCGGACCAGGCUUCAUUCCCCCCAACCAACACUUGCUGCAGCUACUCAUGAUUCCUAGCUCCUUGUUCAUCUCUUGCACCAUUCUUCCUGCACAAUUAAAUGGGAGAAACGUUCCUGGUACCGAGGCUUCCCUUUGAUUUGAUCUCCAAUAUAUAAUGUGCAGAUUUGGUUUUCAGCUGAGCAUCCUUAUCGAUCGCAGCAGUUUUGUUUGAGGAUGAUCACCAAGAUGCAUCCCCUGGCCUUUUCCAGUCUUCCUCUUGCAAAAGAAUUAAAUAAAAUAGUUUGAUCGAUUAAAGCUAGCAUUGAAUCAGAAAUUUCUCAGUAAAUUACUAUACAUAUCCUUCCAAAACCAAAUAUUGUGAAAAAUAAAACCUAUUACCCACGUACGUUCUGAAUUCUCUUUUUCUCUUCAAGUCCCUCAGUUGUGCUCGGGGGAAAAAAAUAGUUCCACACUUGUAAGUACAUCAUGUCACGCACAAUCUCUCUCUCACGCACGCGCACAAACGGAGAGAAACCCACCUAUCUAAUCUUGAAUUAAGACUUUAAAAUGGGAUUUAAUUGUCCAAACUCUAUACCAAAAGGUCAGUUUCUAUCACCCCGGAAUGUUCAUUUCACUUGGACAAGAUGGUAUGCACAGUAAGACCUAUAAGAUGUGAAAUUGUUGCCAGCAACAGCUAGAUCUGGGUGUAGGUUUUCUAGGGUUUCGAAACAGCAGAUCCACAAAUAGAGUAUGAUAUAUCUUUACUUUGUUCUUAAAUAUCCCUAAGACAGCCCUACAUCUAAAAGUAAAAUGAAAAAGAAAGACGCGCAUUAUCUGAUGCAAGCUAGGAUCAGCAUUUUACCUGAGAGGGUCAUGUACUGAUCAGAGGGUAAGUUUCAUGUUUAACUUGGUAUAUAUAUAAUAUAUAUAUAUAUAUAUUUAAAAAUAACAGAUAAUUCCAUCCGUACGUUCACAUGCACCAGGAUGAGAAUUGGCUACUAAAAUGAUUAGAGAUGAUGAUGUGAUCUGAAACACAAGUGGAAAUGCUGUUCAAUUUCUUAUCCCUCGUUCUGGAAUUGUUAUAUUUGAUAUAAUAAGAAAUGAUAUUUGUAGUUGUGGUUGUGCAAGUGGCGUGCAGUCACUUUGAAAAAAAUAAAUUAAUAUGGGACUCACGUAAAAAAAAACUAAUUUUUUAAUCGUGAAUCUACUCUUUUUUAAAACGAUUGCGCGAUGUUUACAAUUUCACGACUAUAUGUAGUAUUGCUCUUGAUAUAAUAUAAACGCUGCGCGUUAAAGAUUUGUGAAUAGGUACUCAUGACGUAUUGGGAAGUAAAAAAAUUUUUUUUUUAUGCAUGGUAACACAAUAUUAGUACUCAUUGAAGCUGCUGAAACAUCUGGAAGAAUAAAAUAUUGGAAGAAGUCAAAGGAUGCCAUAGAUGCCAGAUUUUGAGACAAUUAACGAGAAAAGAAAAGAAGCGAGAAUUUCUCGCUCACAACUGCGUGCAUUUGUAGAGAUGGUCUCUCUACUAGGAUUAAUGCUUAUCAUAAUCAUUAUCGUCCAAUCUUGCCACAAUCAUGAUGACCCAGAUACCUGCAUAUUCGAGGCGAACUAAACCUGGAAAAGAGAAGCCUGAAGGAGUGUUACUAUUUGUGUGAUUUAGUUUAUGCAUUUAUGAGGCUUUUGAAGUUGUUGAAAAAUCAGUUACUAUCCUUGGAAAAGUUCGGAUCAGCAAUGGUGCCCUUGGCAUCUCGAUCUCUUCUGAUCUUUCGUGGAGAGUCAAUAGUACAGAUUUUUGUAAGCUGUUGAAAAGCCAACGUCAACAAAAGUUUAGAGAAAGGAGAGUAAAUGACGACUAUCUGACGCUUCUUGGGAAAUGAAACGUAGGAGACAGACUCGGGUAUCGGUUCAUGACAAACUUGGUGUCUUAAAGAAGGGAAACCAUCACCUUUUUCUGUUGGCAGCUUCAUCGUGUAUUUAUUAUCGAUUCAACAGCUAGCUAGCCUUCUCCUUUCUCUUUUUCCUCUUUUUCUUGCCUUUUUUUGGGGGUUUCUUUAUAAAUAAACGACUGUUGUUUUCAUCACAAUGGUGAAAAAUGAGACCAUUCUGGUAUUCACAAGUUA